rnacentral:misc_RNA from 1 species
GUGAAUAUAGCGCAUCUCUUCGGAGAGCGUGACCUCCACUUUCAACUCUGUGCAUUUUUUGGCGAGGGAACGAGACGAAGCGAAGCAAGUUGCAGACUCUCGCCUCUUGCGGCUCAUUUUAAACACUAGUUAAAGUAUGUAACGAAAUAUCGAAACAAAAA